rnacentral:rRNA from 1 species
GCAGUCGUAACAAGGUUAACCACACGAGUGCUUGCACUCAAUUGGAAUGAGGAGUGGCGGACGGGUGAGUAACCCGGGGGUAACCUACCCAUCAGAGGGGGAUAACACUUGGAAACAGGUGCUAAUACCGCAUAACAGUUUAUGCCGCAUGGCAUAAGAGUGAAAGGCGCUUUCGGGUGUCGCUGAUGGAUGGACCCGCGGUGCAUUAGCUAGUUGGUGAGGUAACGGCUCACCAAGGCCACGAUGCAUAGCCGACCUGAGAGGGUGAUCGGCCACACUGGGACUGAGACACGGCCCAGACUCCUACGGGAGGCAGCAGUAGGGAAUCUUCGGCAAUGGACGAAAGUCUGACCGAGCAACGCCGCGUGAGUGAAGAAGGUUUUCGGAUCGUAAAACUCUGUUGUUAGAGAAGAACAAGGACGUUAGUAACUGAACGUCCCCUGACGGUAUCUAACCAGAAAGCCACGGCUAACUACGUGCCAGCAGCCGCGGUAAUACGUAGGUGGCAAGCGUUGUCCGGAUUUAUUGGGCGUAAAGCGAGCGCAGGCGGUUUCUUAAGUCUGAUGUGAAAGCCCCCGGCUCAACCGGGGAGGGUCAUUGGAAACUGGGAGACUUGAGUGCAGAAGAGGAGAGUGGAAUUCCAUGUGUAGCGGUGAAAUGCGUAGAUAUAUGGAGGAACACCAGUGGCGAAGGCGGCUCUCUGGUCUGUAACUGACGCUGAGGCUCGAAAGCGUGGGGAGCAAACAGGAUUAGAUACCCUGGUAGUCCACGCCGUAAACGAUGAGUGCUAAGUGUUGGAGGGUUUCCGCCCUUCAGUGCUGCAGCAAACGCAUUAAGCACUCCGCCUGGGGAGUACGACCGCAAGGUUGAAACUCAAAGGAAUUGACGGGGGCCCGCACAAGCGGUGGAGCAUGUGGUUUAAUUCGAAGCAACGCGAAGAACCUUACCAGGUCUUGACAUCCUUUGACCACUCUAGAGAUAGAGCUUUCCCUUCGGGGACAAAGUGACAGGUGGUGCAUGGUUGUCGUCAGCUCGUGUCGUGAGAUGUUGGGUUAAGUCCCGCAACGAGCGCAACCCUUAUUGUUAGUUGCCAUCAUUUAGUUGGGCACUCUAGCGAGACUGCCGGUGACAAACCGGAGGAAGGUGGGGAUGACGUCAAAUCAUCAUGCCCCUUAUGACCUGGGCUACACACGUGCUACAAUGGGAAGUACAACGAGUCGCUAGACCGUGAGGUCAUGCAAAUCUUCUAAAGCUUCUUUCAGUUCGGAUUGCAGGUUGCAACUCGCCUGCAUGAAGCCGGAAUCGCUAGUAAUCGCGGAUCAGCACGCCGCGGUGAAUACGUUCCCGGGCCUUGUACCCCCCGCCCGUCCCCCCACGAGAGUUGGUAACACCCGAAGUCG